GCGCAGCAGGCGCGAAAACUCCGCAAUGCGCGAAAGCGUGACGGGGUCACCCCGAGUGCCGUCCGCUGAGGAUGGCUUUUGCCUGGUCUAUAAAGCUGGGAGAAUAAGGAGAGGGCAAGUCUGGUGUCAGCCGCCGCGGUAAUACCAGCUCUCCGAGUGGUGUGGAUGUUUAUUGGGCCUAAAGCAUCCGUAGCUUGCCAAGCAAGUCCCCUGUUAAACCCACCGAAUUAAUCGUUGGAUUGCGGGGGAUACUGCUCGGCUAGGGGACGGGAGAGGCCGACGGUACUUCCGGGGUAGGGGUGAAAUCCUAUAAUCCCGGGAAGACCACCAGUGGCGAAGGCUGUCGGCUAGAACGCGCCCGACGGUGAGGGAUGAAAGCUGGGGGAGCGAACCGGAUUAGAUACCCGGGAGUCC
rnacentral:rRNA from 1 species